UACGUAGGGUGCGAGCGUUAAUCGGAAUUACUGGGCGUAAAGGGUGCGCAGGCGGCUCCGCAUGUCGGGCGUGAAAUCCCCGGGCUUAACCUGGGAACUGCACUUGAAACUACGAUGCUGGAGUAUGGCAGAGGGAGGUGGAAUUCCACGUGUAGCGGUGAAAUGCGUAGAGAUGUGGAGGAACACCGAUGGCGAAGGCAGCCUCCUGGGCCAAUACUGACGCUCAUGCACGAAAGCGUGGGGAGCAAACAGG
rnacentral:rRNA from 1 species